rnacentral:guide_RNA from 1 species
AUAAAACCACAGUCAACGAGUAAGAGAGUAUUAAU